rnacentral:lncRNA from 1 species
CUUAUGUUUGGCUUUGAAAACGAUUCUCUCCAGAGCCUAUAAAGAGCUCCCUCCGAUCCUGGUAGCCGGCUGAGGCCGCGAUGCUGGAAAAGUUGCCUGCCUGGGUCUGGGAGUCGAUUCUGUUCUUUCUCAUCAAUAGUGGGAGGAGCCAAAGACGACGGAGCUCUAAAGUGUGGACCUCUUUCAGAGCAGUUAAAAAAAUCAAUGUCUCUGGCAGAAGAAAAAGGGUAGGGGGAAGGACAACUCAGAUCUUGGAUCAUAAAUGAAAGCAUCUCUUUAAGCCGCUGCUCCCUCCUUCCUCCUACCCCCAGGCCGCGCUCACACAGAAUCGCAGAAUCACACCAAGAGUGGGUUUAAAUUUGGUUGCAUCUGGAUAGUUAUGAAAUUUGAAAGCAUUAGAACUCUUAUGAAGAAGAUGGUCCUUACCAAAUUUCAGAAACAAAGAUUGGAUUUAGGCCCACCAUAGCUUUAUUCACGAUGGGCUUUAAUGAUAGUAUCUGAAAUGGAUUCACUAGAGAAUGCGGUCCUGCCCUGGGGCCUCAUGUUUCUGAACUGAUGGAAACCGCUGGACGAGCAGAGCUGGGAGAAGUCAGGAUAUUAACUAGGCAGCACUGGAUAAAUCACAAACCAAGAUCCACAACUUCCUCAAAGGGUUGACUCAUAGCAUUGACCAGUGCCAAAGAUCUACUACAAUAGUAGCCUUAAAAAAAAAAAAAAAGUUUCACUAAGGUCAAGAAGAACCAUAAGCACUGCCUAUGCAUUAAAUUAACACUGG